UACGUAGGGUGCAAGCGUUGUCCGGAAUUAUUGGGCGUAAAGAGCUCGUAGGCGGUUUGUCGCGUCUGCUGUGAAAUCCGGAGGCUCAACCUCCGGCCUGCAGUGGGUACGGGCAGACUAGAGUGCGGUAGGGGAGAUUGGAAUUCCUGGUGUAGCGGUGAAAUGCGCAGAUAUCAGGAGGAACACCGGUGGCGAAGGCGGGUCUCUGGGCCGAUACUGACGCUGAGGAGCGAAAGCGUGGGGAGCGAACAGG
rnacentral:rRNA from 1 species